rnacentral:rRNA from 1 species
AUUGAACGCUGGCGGCAGGCCUAACACAUGCAAGUCGAACGAGUGGCGGACGGGUGAGUAAUGUCUGGGAAACUGCCCGAUGGAGGGGGAUAACUACUGGAAACGGUAGCUAAUACCGCAUACCAUCGGAUGUGCCCAGAUGGGAUUGGCUAGUAGGGGGGGUAACGGCUCACCUAGGCGACGAUCCCUAGCGGGUCUGAGAGGAUGACCAGCCACACUGGACCUGAGACACGGUCCAGACUCCUACGGGAGGCAGCAGUGGGGAAGAUUGCACAAUGGGCGCAAGCCUGAUGCAGCCCGGCCGCGUGUAUGAAGAAGGCCUUCGGGUUGUAAAGUACUUUCAGCGGGGAGGCGUUACCCGCAGAAGAAGCACCGGCUAACUCCGUGCCAGCCGCCGCGGUAAUUC